UUAUGGUUUCUGGUCCUUCUGGGUUACUGUGCAGCUCAGUGUUUCUAUUCUCGUUCUCCAACACCUCCUCCACCAGGAUCUACAGAUCCACCUCCUACCCACUGCAAUUCAUCUGGUGUGAUAUUGGCACCAGGAGAAGCACACACAGAUAUGACAAGAUGUUUGAGAUGUCACUGUGGAGCAGAUCUUGUACUCUACUGUUGCUCAAUGCUCAUGCACUACACAGUACCAGAGGGUUGUGUUGUUAAAGAAAAGAACUGUACACAGGAGAUUGUUCACAAAGCGGACGGAUCUCCAUGCCAAUAUCUUGCAUCUUUUUCCAGAAGGUGACAUAACAACAAA